rnacentral:rRNA from 1 species
AUUGAACGCUGGCGGCAGGCCUAACACAUGCAAGUCGAGCGGAUGAAGGGAGCUUGCUCCUGGAUUCAGCGGCGGACGGGUGAGUAAUGCCUAGGAAUCUGCCUGGUAGUGGGGGAUAACGUCCGGAAACGGGCGCUAAUACCGCAUACGUCCUGAGGGAGAAAGUGGGGGAUCUUCGGACCUCACGCUAUCAGAUGAGCCUAGGUCGGAUUAGCUAGUUGGUGGGGUAAAGGCCUACCAAGGCGACGAUCCGUAACUGGUCUGAGAGGAUGAUCAGUCACACUGGAACUGAGACACGGUCCAGACUCCUACGGGAGGCAGCAGUGGGGAAUAUUGGACAAUGGGCGAAAGCCUGAUCCAGCCAUGCCGCGUGUGUGAAGAAGGUCUUCAGAUUGUAAAGCACUUUAAGUUGGGAGGAAGGGCAGUAAGUUAAUACCUCGCUGUUUUGACGUUACCAACAGAAUAAGCACCGGCUAACUUCGUG